CUCAGAGCCGUUUGGUUAACUACCAACACAUCCCUACGGCGCAUGCGUAGAAAGAUUCGCGUGCGAUUGGACGGCGGCUAUAUCACGUGGCUGUGAGUCUAUUUAAGCGUCUGCGGGAAGGCGGGCCGGUUUCAUUUAAGGUCCAGGUUCAGACGGGUUCAGUAUGUUCGGCGUGAGCUGGUCGAUCGUUUGACGAGUCGACGCUCAGUUGAACUUGUUUCUGACCUGUUGUGUUUUGUUUGCAGAGUUCGGGCUGUUCGUUCGGCUGAGGACGAAACAGGCAUGAAAGUUUGGUUUGGUGUUUGGUUUACAGGUGUGACUGCGGGACGACGGCAAACAGCGUCAGUCUUGGAGUCCGGGGCUGGCGGUUUGUGAGGAGUGUUUCUUUGUUUAAUGUGUUUGUUUCCUACAGGUCGGCGGAGAAGGCAGAGUGUGUGUUUAUCGUCGGAGCUAAAUGUUUGUAGCAGGUGUUAACGGAGUUUGUUUCAGGUGCUGAAGCGGGUUGGAGUCGCGCAGCAGACCCGGAGUCCCCGCAUGUUUUUAAUGGCGUUUGUGGACGGAGAUCUUUGUUUGUUUUACAGACGAGAGAAGCAGAAAUAACGUGGCUUUUCUUUUUUGCUGUAGAGGAGGGCGGGGUUUGUGUCUUGAACGUGACAAGGCACCGGAUGUGUCGUCACGUGCGGAAGGAAUGAAUGUAGUCUGAACUUCCGACUUCCGGGUGGGGCUGUUGUGGAGUCGGCAGCAGCCUCACGAACUGUGCAGGUGUUUUGUUUGGAGCAGCUUAAUAAUUUAAUUCAUAAAUUGUUUCUAAUUUCAGAGACGUGCGACGUAGCAGUUUUUAUUUUCCUCUGUUUCCUUUGUCUCAGGAUUGUAGCUGAGGCUUCCUCUUCCGGAAAUACUAUUUUUGUUUUUCAGGUUUCCUGGACUCUUCAUGCUUGCCUUGGAUGACAAAGGAACAGCCAUUGAGGUGAAGUCAUUUCUGCAACACAAAGACCAGGAAGUAUAGCUGUGGUUGCAAAGUGACUUGACUUGGAUGUUUGCUACUUUGUGCACUGAAGUGAAAUGACUUUGCAACUUUUGGACUUAAAGGUCUGUGUGUUGUUGUGAAGUGAUUUGACUUGAAUGUGACAAUUCAAAAGCACUUUUUAAGUUAAUAAAGUUUUAAGUAAAUGUUAAACUUAAGUCAAACGUGUAACUUCAUUUUUCUUAUACAAACAAAAAGACUUCCACUUUUAGACACUUCAGUUUUUAUUAAAGUUCUUUUCCUUUUCUCAAUGGUCCAUUUUCAGGAACCAAAAGGCCUCUGAAUGGAUCCUGCAAGGACAACAAACUGUU
rnacentral:lncRNA from 1 species